rnacentral:rRNA from 1 species
GACGAACGCUGGCGGCGUGCUUAACACAUGCAAGUCGAACGGAAAGGCCCUGCUUUUGUGGGGUGCUCGAGUGGCGAACGGGUGAGUAACACGUGAGUAACCUGCCCUUGACUUUGGGAUAACUUCAGGAAACUGGGGCUAAUACCGGAUAGGAGCUCCUGCUGCAUGGUGGGGGUUGGAAAGUUUCGGCGGUUGGGGAUGGACUCGCGGCUUAUCAGCUUGUUGGUGGGGUAGUGGCUUACCAAGGCUUUGACGGGUAGCCGGCCUGAGAGGGUGACCGGCCACAUUGGGACUGAGAUACGGCCCAGACUCCUACGGGAGGCAGCAGUGGGGAAUAUUGCACAAUGGGCGGAACCCUGAUGCAGCAACGCCGCCGUGCGGGAUGACGGGCUUUCGGGUUGAAACCGCCUUUCGCUGUGACGAAACGUGAUUGACCGUAUGGGUUAAAGAAGCACCGGUAACUACGUGGCCACACCGCCGGGGAACCCUAGGGUCCAAGCGGUGGUCCGGAUUUAUUGGGCGAAAAGGGUCUAAAGGGGUUGAUCCCUCCGAAGGUAAUCUUGGGGCUUAACCCUGAGCGUGCUUUCGAUACGGGUUGACUUGAGGAAGGUAGGGGAGAAUGGAAUUCCUGGUGGAGCGGUGGAAUGCGCAGAUAUCAGGAGGAACACCAGUGGCGAAGGCGGUUCUCUGGGCCUUUCCUGACGCUGAGGAGCGAAAGCGUGGGGAGCGAACAGGCUUAGAUACCCUGGUAGUCCACGCUGUAAACGGUGGGUACUAGGUGUGGGGUCCAUUCCACGGGUUCCGUGCCGUAGCUAACGCUUUAAGUACCCCGCCUGGGGAGUACGGCCGCAAGGCUAAAACUCAAAGGAAUUGACGGGGCCCCGCACAAGCGGCGGAGCAUGCGGAUUAAUUCGAUGCAACGCGUAGAACCUUACCUGGGUUUGACAUGGAUCGGGAGCGCUCAGAGAUGGGUGUGCCUCUUUUGGGGUCGGUUCACAGGUGGUGCAUGGCUGUCGUCAGCUCGUGUCGUGAGAUGUUGGGUUAAGUCCCGCAACGAGCGCAACCCUUGUUCACUGUUGCCAGCACGUUAUGGUGGGGACUCAGUGGAGACCGCCGGGGUCAACUCGGAGGAAGGUGGGGAUGACGUCAAGUCAUCAUGCCCCUUAUGUCCAGGGCUUCACGCAUGCUACAAUGGCUGGUACAGAGAGUGGCGAGCCUGUGAGGGUGAGCGAAUCUCGGAAAGCCGGUCUCAGUUCGGAUUGGGGUCUGCAACUCGACCUCAUGAAGUCGGAGUCGCUAGUAAUCGCAGAUCAGCAACGCUGCGGUGAAUACGUUCCCGGGGCU